UUUGGUGCUUAGCCCUAAAAAGGUUAAGUGAAAAGGGAAUCGGGUGAGAAUCCCGAGCAGACGGUGCUGCUGUAUUUUCCCAUCGAAAAUCGAUGUGUCCCCAUGGAGGUUUCACUGCACACGAUAUGUUUCUUAAAAGAUGUGUGUGGGAAGGGACUUUCAAAACAAAGGGCGGAAUAAGUCAGAAGACCUGCCAAGUCGGU
rnacentral:ncRNA from 1 species